CUCAUCCAACCGCUGCAGCAAGUUGGGGCCUCCGUUUGGGGUUCCGUUGUCUCGAUUGUCGCCUCCACUCCUACAUCGUCGUCGCUCGCUCGUCCGCUCGUUCGCUAGCUCGCCGACUGCGACCCUACGUGCCAUUUGUUUUGAAUAAUCCGAAUAAAUUCAACGCGCCCCGAAACUGCAUAUAAAAAUAGCCCAGCCAGCGUGCAAAAUAGCGGGUCGAAAGUCGAAAUAAAAAAAAAAUUGUUAACAAGUGUGCGGAGGCGAUUUUUCCCCAUCUAUACUACUACUAGUUGUUGUUGAAAUUUAAAAAAAAAUUAGAAGAAAAAAAAGCACACACAUAAAACACAUAAAUUUUUGAUUAUUUACGGUGUGUGUGUGGCAUUUAAAGUUUCCCGCAAAAACGUAAAGUUCGUGGUUAGUUUGUUGUGAUUUACUGAAACCCCACCCCCUUCAGUCCAGCCUCCACUCCAUCCCCAAGUUGUGCCCGAAAGAAAGUCCUGAUUUUCUGGCCUAAGAAAGUGGUUUUUUAAUUUUCUUUUUAAAAUCUUUCUAUUCAACAAACUGCUUACCGAAUGUCCGAAAACAAAGGCAUCAUGCUGGCCAAAUCAGUUCAAAAACACGCUGGACGUGCCAAGGAGAAGAUUCUACAAAACUUGGGAAAAGUGGAUCGCACCGCAGAUGAAAUCUUCGACGAUCACCUGAACAACUUCAACCGCCAGCAGGCGAGUGCCAACAAACUACAAAAGGAGUUCAACAACUAUAUACGAUGUGUUCGCGCCGCACAAGCCGCCUCCAAGACUCUGAUGGACGCCGUUUGCGAAAUUUAUGAGCCACAAUGGAGCGGAUACGAUGCCCUUCAAGCACAAACCGGCGCCUCGGAGAGCCUGUGGGCGGACUUUGCCCACAAGCUGGGGGACCAAGUGCUCAUUCCCCUCAACACAUACACUGGACAGUUUCCAGAAAUGAAGAAAAAAGUGGAGAAGCGCAAUCGGAAGCUGAUUGAUUACGAUGGACAGCGUCACUCGUUCCAGAAUCUGCAAGCCAAUGCCAACAAGCGCAAAGAUGAUGUCAAGCUAACCAAAGGACGUGAACAGCUGGAGGAGGCCAGACGCACUUAUGAGAUUCUGAACACGGAACUGCACGAUGAACUGCCUGCUUUGUACGAUUCGAGAAUACUGUUUUUGGUUACCAACUUGCAGACCCUUUUCGCCACAGAACAGGUCUUCCACAAUGAAACCUCCAAGAUCUACUCGGAACUAGAGGCUAUUGUCGAUAAACUGGCCACAGAAUCACAGCGCGGAUCGAAUACCCUAAGGAAACAAACUAGCAAUGCCAUCAAGACAUCCAGUCCAGUGCAGUCGCCGGUCAACAAGCUCAACAACGCCAACAUCAACAGCAGCAACUACCAGAAUCAGAUUACCACAAACGGUGGCGGCUCCAGUCUGGCCAACAGCCCCACAUCCACCAACUCUUCGCUGCAAGAGCCGAGAUUUGAUUCAGUUUCUUCAACACCAGAACCGACCCCCGAUUCCCCGGCAGCGCCCAGCAGUCCCACGGAAAACGGUGGUGGUAGGUGGUGGUGGUGCCUCCUCCAAACCAGGGGAGCGUCCCGAGCUGACAGGUCUGAAUGGGUCGAGUGGCAAGGCAACCACCACCACCCAGACCUCACCGACGGAGGAGUCAACCGCAAAGGCGGUAGCGGCAGUGGUGGCGGAUACCGGAGCUGGGGACUUGACAGUACCACCCACCACCACCCCCCAAGUCAAUGGCAACAACAAUGAUCCACCUGCCCACCCGGUGGCAGGUGCAAAGGAAGGUGGCAAGCAACCAAAGGAACUGCCGACCAGCAACAGCAAUGCCGAGGCAGCGGCCGAGGCGGCUGCCAACAAUGGCAACUCGAUCGAGGAGCACAAGCAGAAGAAACUAGAUGCCAACACUGCUGACCUGCCGGCCGGCGUGCUCUACCGCGUCAAGGCCACCUACGGCUACGUCAAGGAGGAUGUGGACGAGCUGAGCUUCGAGAUCGGUGACAUAAUUCGGGUUAUCGAGUACGACGAUCCAGAGGAUCAGGAGGAGGGCUGGCUGAUGGGUCAGAAGGAGGGCACCACCGAGAAGGGACUCUUCCCCGCCAACUUUACGCGUCCCAUCUGAGCCGGAGGACUGGAGAGAUCGAGGAGCAACCGAGCAAGCAACGAACCAACUUCAAAACCAACAAUUAUUCUUCUUUAAAAAACACAUUUUUCGAGCGGAGAUCCAACCCCCACCCCAGUUCACAUUUCGGCCAAAUUUUCUUUGUGAGAGCGCUGCUUCAAGUUUUGUCCAUUUAAUAAAUUCUUGUUCUGUGAAUUGUAUUCUUGAA
rnacentral:misc_RNA from 1 species